UACGUAGGUGGCAAGCGUUGUCCGGAUUUACUGGGCGUAAAGGGCGUGCAGGCGGUCUGUUAAGUUCAGGGUGAAAGCUCCCGGCUCAACUGGGAGAGGGCCUUGGAUACUGGCGAUCUUGAGUCCGGGAGAGGUGAGUGGAACUGCGAGUGUAGAGGUGAAAUUCGUAGAUAUUCGCAAGAACACCAGUGGCGAAGGCGGCUCACUGGCCCGGUACUGACGCUGAGGUGCGAAAGCGUGGGGAGCAAACAGG
rnacentral:rRNA from 1 species